rnacentral:rRNA from 1 species
UACGUAGGGUCCGAGCGUUGUCCGGAAUUAUUGGGCGUAAAGGGCUCGUAGGCGGUCUGUUGCGUCGGGAGUGAAAACUUACAGCUUAACUGUGAGCGUGCUUUCGAUACGGGCAGACUUGAGGCAUUCAGGGGAGAACGGAAUUCCUGGUGUGAGCGGUGAAAUGCGCAGAUAUCAGGAGGAACACCGGUGGCGAAGGCGGUUCUCUGGGAAUGUCCUGACGCUGAGGAGCGAAAGUGUGGGGGAGCGAACAGG